rnacentral:tmRNA from 1 species
GGGGUUGUACUGGUUUCGACGGGGAUUUAGAAAUUACGGAAGCCAUUAGUGGACCAGACCACUAUAAAACAUGGAAUUAAAUAUAAACGCAGACGAAAAUUACGCGUUCGCUGCCUAAUGGCAGCUGUCAGACCUAGGCUCCCCGCAGCUUAGGACUCUGGCACCAUUUUGGCGGGAAACUCCGAGGCGAAAGCUUUGACGUUUCGGAAAAUUGAUGAAGCUACCAAAUGCAAUAGCCUGUCUGUAGGCGCUUGCAUGAGGGAAUGAUAAAAUACAGACUGUGAUGGGAGAUGCCGUAAUGGAAGAGUUUUCGGACGCGGGUUCAAUUCCCGCCAGCUCCACUU